GAUGCCAUUAGGCCUUGAACUUUUUGGCGAGAGGCAUAGUAUUUUGUCAACUUGGACCUUCCUGCUCAUUUUCUUGGACAAGAUAAAAAAUUUGUCGCAAUUCCAGCUACUCAAUUCCUUUGGUGCAUUGAAGUUAUUUGCAUUGAAAUAAGAUAAAAAAUUUGUGACAAUUCUAGCGACUCAAUUCCUUUGAUUCUGUGAAGUUAUUUGAAUUGAAAUAAGAUAAAAAAUUUGUCACAAUUUCAGUCACUUAAUUCCUUUGGUGCUGUGAAGUAAUUUGAAUUAAUAUAAGAGGCAAUGGAGUUGAUUCAACCUUUGUACGAUAUUGCGAAAAACAUGUGCACACCCAUUUGUAGACGUGUGGAUUAUGCAAUAAACCUGUCAAAGAAUUUCACUGAGCUGAGCGGGAGAGUAAAAAAAUUAUGCGACAGGAGGGAUGACAUUAUAUAUCAGAUUGACCUUGUUAACCUACAAAAGGGUCCUACAAGAGAAUGCAAUGGCUGGCUUGAAAGGGUGGAUGAGAUUGAUAAGAAGACGAAAGAAGAUGAGCAGCUCAUUGGCAAAAGAUGUUUUAAUGGAUGGUUUCCAGAUGUCAUUUCUCGUGUGAAGCUCGGUAAGCAUGUGGUGGAAAUGAUCGAGCAGGUUAAAGAGCUCCAAGCGGAAUCCAGGUUUGAAGAUGGUUUUGUCAUUGAUUUGCCACCAAAAAUAGUUGAGGAGAGGCCUGCUGAUGCUUUGAUAAUGGGGAAUUCAACUAAUCUCACCUUGCAAAAGAUACUAGAUUCCAUAAGAGAUGA